GAGAAGGGCUAGCUAGACAUGCUAAUCUGUUUGUACUCAACUGCUGUGUUUUGCUGCCACGUUAUAAAGAAAAGCUUGCCUGAAGCAAGAGGAAAGUUUCCUUCCUUCCUUCCUGAAGCGCGAUGCUCUAUUUUCACUCUGACACUGUAGAGUGCUUCAUACCUGAGUAUCAAGACGCUUUUCUACGCAUGUCCUGAUGUGACACUUGUUCCGAGAUGACAUUGCGGGCCAAGGAGGAAGUAACAACAAAGCUGCUGAGUGGAUUCCAAUGGCAUCAUCUAGCACUACAAGGCAUCCUGUUUGAACUGCUGUUUGUCACUGCCAUGCAUAAUUGCACGCUUAGGCUAAAUGCACGUCUGUCCAUUCACAUACACGCGUAAAUGCACAUCUGUCCUUUCACUUACAUGCGUGAAUGCAGGUCUGUCCAUUCACGUACACGCGUAAAUACACAUCUCUCCAUUCACAUACACGCGGAAAUGCACAUCUGUCCAUUCAC